rnacentral:lncRNA from 1 species
UAUUACAGUGAAAUGCAGUCAAGUUUAGCGUUUGAUAGUUCAUUGAUAACGUUCUGGCGUAUCACAAACAAACAACUUGUAACGUCUCAUUUCAUUGGCCGAAAGAUUCAAAUACAACAAACAAUCGUAGUAUGCACGUGAAUUGACACAGAUGACCGACAAUGGAAUGUACUAUGUUACUACGAACGUAAAUAGUUUACAAAUCU